CUGGACUCGAAUUUGGGAAGUUGACGGUUCAAUCCUGUGUCAUACACAUUUAGGUUUUCUGCGAUUUCCCUACAUCACUCUACGGAAAUGCCGGGACAGUUCCUAUCGGAGAGUGCGGCCAAUUUCCUUCCCUGUCUUUGACACGAUCUGACCUCGUGCUCCAUAUCUAAUGACCCCGAUGUUGACAGGAUGUUAAAUCCGACCUUCCUUCCUCGUUUCCAUUAUUCACAAAUAGAAAUCUUUAGCUAUAAUUUGUAAAAGGACAGCAAAUAACAGUAACUGAAUGUACUGCAGAUUUUUGUACUUUAUAAAAGAGAGGUUGCUAAGAGCCACACGAGUCAGUCUCCAGAAGUGUAUAAUGUGAGCGAGAUCUGUUCCAAAAAUUGCUGCACACUGCCGGCAGAAGAGUUAGCACUGUGUACUGAGUUUUAUAUGAAUUUCACAUCUGGGAGAUCAUUCUGUAGUUUAAUUCCAAAUUCACAGUGAAUCAUUCAAAAGCAACAACUAAUCUCGAGAACUCUGUCAAACUUCGACAACGGUUUCUGGAAACUGUAACGACAGUAUUGGACUGUGACCUGUGUUAUCUCCAAAUGAUAUUUACUGUGCAUAUCAUUUUCAUUUUGAUGUGAUUAGUUACUUGAAAGGAUAACAAUUUAAGGAUGUUAAUUGGUGACUGUGUUAAUUGAACGUCAGCCACACAUAAACUUCUGUCACUUUAGUGUUUAGGUUACUACACUUGAACAACCGUCAUCAUUGUAACAUCAGUAGAGUGUACUAUGUGGCUUAUCCUUUAUCUGUGCAUAAAUUACAGUGACUGGGACUCAGAUCUGACCAUAAACAAAAAGUUAUUUAAUAUCAAAGUGCAAAUAAAGUGUUUUGGAUUCUAAA